GACGAACGCUGGCGGCGUGCCUAACACAUGCAAGUAGAACGCUGAAGGAGGAGCUUGCUCUUCUGGAUGAGUUGCGAACGGGUGAGUAACGCGUAGGUAACCUGCCUGGUAGCGGGGGAUAACUAUUGGAAACGAUAGCUAAUACCGCAUAAGAGUAGAUGUUGCAUGACAUUUACUUAAAAGGUGCAAUUGCAUCACUACCAGAUGGACCUGCGUUGUAUUAGCUAGUUGGUGGGGUAACGGCUUACCAAGGCGACGAUACAUAGCCGACCUGAGAGGGUGAUCGGCCACACUGGGACUGAGACACGGCCCAGACUCCUACGGGAGGCAGCAGUAGGGAAUCUUCGGCAAUGGACGGAAGUCUGACCGAGCAACGCCGCGUGAGUGAAGAAGGUUUUCGGAUCGUAAAGCUCUGUUGUAAGAGAAGAACGAGUGUGAGAGUGGAAAGUUCACACUGUGACGGUAUCUUACCAGAAAGGGACGGCUAACUACGUG
rnacentral:rRNA from 1 species